ACGCGAUGAAUGAAUAAAGUACACUGACACACAGAUAUUCUGCUCUGCCAGUCCAGCUGAGGGUCCAAGCCCCUUACAGGCUCCCUGCUGAGCCCUGUAAACAGUUGCGACUCGGCAGGGAGCCUGUAAGCACCUGGGACCCUCAGAAUAUCUGUGUGUCAGCGUACUUUAUUCACCGGUCAUUGGGUCAGGGGUCUGCAAGGGACAGACUCCCCACAGCUGGUGACCCCUCGAGAGGAGCCCUGCCCCCAGCUGGUGCCCCAUGUGAGGCGCUGUGUGAGGAACUGUGUGAGGAAUGCUGUGAAGGAAACGCGACGAACCGCCCGAAAACGAAGACAGACAGAACAGCAUGUGGAGACUCACACAGUGAAAUUUUCCUCCAAGAAGUACUGCAUGAACAUACCAGGAAAACCAAAAGAAUUCACAGGACCUUUGAAAGAAGUGGCUUGCCGCUGCAAACUCCAUGAGACAGCUGAAAAACUGGCAAAGCGGCUGAGAUCUUUGAACUCCCUUUGAACUUUGAGAAUGGUGACUGGAAGAUGACAAUUCAUGUUGUUUUCAGGAAAGCUAUGACCGAGAAACCAAGGAACUCACUAUCUUGUCCUCUUGGAUGCCAGCUAUAAAUUGAAUCAAGUUGGACACCGGAAUUUUGACCACUUUCCACCUUUCUAUCGUGGUCAGGGGUACUAACUGGAAGAAAGGAAUGCGAAUGAUUACCAAUCCUGCUGCAAGUGCUUAAAGAAGAUGGAAUCAGAGUGUGGGAACCAGGCUGAACUACAUGACUGACAGUAGAUGACCGCCACUGCCACGGGAUCCACAGGGUCCACAAAGACUGGUAAAAGGUUUUCCAAAAUUGAACAAAGAAAGGCUACUGAAUCUGCAGCCCAGUUGGAGGCAGCAGUCACCAAUCACCCCCCUCAAGAUCUCAAAGUCCAUCAGCCAUUCACCACACCCUUUCCUGAUCCUUUUUUGUACACAGAAAGACUCCUUACCAGGGACAGAACACAUAAUUGGACCUGGCCACAAAGCUGUUUCUACCAAUUUUCCAGUCAGCCCUGAAGUACUAAUAACAAUCUUGACACUCUUUAUUCAUUAUUGUGGAUAUCUUUAAAAUGUGUAUUUAAUAAUAAUUCUUAGUAAGUAAUAAAUAAUACUUAUUCA
ensembl:lncRNA novel transcript, antisense to FMO1